AUGUCAAAUAUUCUCCUGAUACAACUCAGUUGUCACUUUAGUUCUGGGAGUUGUGGAAAGGUGCUAGUGUGGCCCACAGAAUACAGCCAUUGGAUGAAUAUAAAGACAAUCCUGGAUGAACUUGUUUGGAGAGGCCAUAAGAUGACUGUGCUGUCAUCUUUGGCUUCCAUUAUUAUUCACCCUAGUAAAUCAUCUGCUAUUAGAUUUGAGGUUUAUCCAACAUCUCUAAUUAAAAAUAAUUUUGAGGGUCUUGUUGUGAAACUGAUCAAUAGAUGGAUAUACGAUCUUCAGAAAGAUGCAUUUUGGUCAUAUUUCUCACAAGCACAAGAACUCUUUUGGGAAUCUACAGACUGUGUUAAUAAUCUCUGUAAAGAUGUAGUUUUGAACAAGAAAAUUACGACAAAACUACAAGAGUCAAAGUUUGAUGUCGUUCUUGCAGAUGCCCUUGGUGCCUGUGGUGAACUGCUAGCUGAGCAUGUUAAAGGCAUGUUAAAUACAUGUCCUUUGUUGACAGUCUCCUGGCUACACACUUGAGAAGUAUAGUGGAGGACUUCUAUUCCCCACUUCCCGCAUACCUGCUGUUCUGUCUGAAUUAAGUGGUAAAAUGACAUUCGUGGAGAGGAUUAAAAAUUUAAUACAUGUGCUUUAUUUUGACUUUUGGUUUCAAAUGUUUGAUACGAGAAGUGGGAGAAGUUUUACAGUGAAGUUCUAGGUAUACAUUAUUUCAGACAAUGGGGAAAGCUGAAGUGUGGCUCAUUCAACUGUACUGGGAUUUUGAAUUUCUUCACCCACCCUUACCAAAUGUCGAUUUUGUGGGGGAACUCCACUGUAAACCAGCCAAAACCCUGCCU
rnacentral:lncRNA from 1 species